rnacentral:rRNA from 1 species
UGAGGGAAUAUUGGGGUCAAUGGGGCGAGAGCCUGAACCAGCCAAGUAGCGUGCAGGAAGACGGCCCUAUGGGUUGUAAACUGCUUUUAUAUGGGGAUAAAGCGAGUUACGUGUAGCUUAUUGCAGGUACCAUAUGAAUAAGGACCGGCUAAUUCCGUGCCAGCAGCCGCGGUAAUACGGAAGGUCCAGGCGUUAUCCGGAUUUAUUGGGUUUAAAGGGAGCGUAGGCCGCCCCUUAAGCGUGUUGUGAAAUGCCGCGGCUCAACCGUGGCACUGCAGCACGAACUGGUUUUCUUGAGUGCGCGCGACGCAGGCGGAAUUCGUGGUGUAGCGGUGAAAUGCUUAGAUAUCACGAGGAACCCGAUUGCGAAGGCAGCUUGCGGAGCGCAACUGACGCUG